rnacentral:rRNA from 1 species
GAUGAACGCUGGCGGCGUGCCUAAUACAUGCAAGUCGAGCGCAGCGGGGACGGGCGAGUAACACGUGCAUAACCUCCUAUAAGACUGGGGUAACUUCGGGAAACCGGGACUAAAACGGAUACUUAUAGCUGGGUGCGCGGUGCAUUAGCUAGUUGGUAAGGUAACGGCUAACCAAGGAAACGAUGCAUAGCCGACCUGCGAGGGUGAUCGGCCACACUGGAACUGAGACACGGGCCAGACUCCUACGGGAGGCAGCAGUAGGGAAUCUUCCGCAAUGGGCGAAAGCCUGACGGAGCAACGCCGCGUGAGUGAUGAAGGUCUUCGGAUCGUAAAACUCUGUUAUUAGGGAAGCGGUACCUAAUCAGAAAGCAACGGCUAACUACGUGCCAGCAGCCGCGGUAAUUC